CCGCUUCUCUCUCUGGGACCGCCACGUCAAGAGCAGCGCAGCGACUGGACGACUGGACGUGGCGAUCGUUAGACUGCAUGGGCCUGGACAGUCGUUCAGGGGGCCAGACAGUAUCAGGGACACACAGGACCAGGGACCACGCUAACGGGAGAUGCAGAGGGCAUACCAAAACAAAGAAUUCAUCAUGAUCCAACCUCAUGACAGAAAUUGUUUAAAGAAGUCCUGUAGGCAACAAAGAAAAUGAGAGCAGAGAGAAGUUGGAUUCUACACAACGAAAUAAAAUUUAACUAAAAGGGUAAAGGAAAACUUAUGUCCUUGCAAGACUUAUACGCAAGCAAUUAUUGGGGCUUAUAAGAAGCUGCUUUAACAACUGGAAAGCAACUCUCUAUCAGCAGGCAGAGAGAUGUACGUAUUACUUUCCAUAAAGGUUGAACAUUUCCACCAACAGUGAAUGAAACCUCCUGGAUUCAUACUAAAUUCUACCUACAGCAGGGAGUGCUAAAAGGAGACUAUCAGGCUAAUGGAGGGAAAGGAAUUUUGGAUCCAUCCUGUGUUUUGCUUUCCAUUCUUGGAAGUAUCACCCCAGCAAAGUUCUUCUCUGGAGUACCUGAAUUUGAACUGUUCUCCGAGACUCCAGCAGGCAAACGGAAAUCAUGGCUUGUGUUGGAUGGCAUGCACAACAACUUGAAUCUCUCGGGAGUGAUUGGGUAUAUCACUUUAGAUGCAGUGACCACAUAGAUCAACUCUGCUAGAACAUUGAAACCGAAAAUGAAUCUUCAUGGCAACUGUGUUCGAGACCUCUUAUGAUUCAUAAAACUUUAUCAGACCACAUACCUUCAAAAAAACAACUGUGAAGCAUUAGAAUGGCACUAAAUAAAAAUUGGAGACCGUAAGA